GGGGAAAAAUGAUUUUUCGGACCACCCUAAAAUGGAAAUGGUCACCCUAACGAAAAAAAAGGGUUUAAUGUUUUGCAAUAAAGAACAAAACUACCACUUUUCAUUGAAAUCUGAGAACCACUAUAUCGGUUUGGCAUGGAAUGGCUGUAUAUAUAAAAGAUGUACAUAUACAAAAUAUACAAUAAUAUACAAAAGACAAUCUAGCGUGCAUCGCGAUGUACAAAGUAUCAAUGAAUCUGGAAAAAUUAACAUUAAAAGAGAUUUCUACAGAUUCGCACGCUUUUACAGACAUUUCCACAUUUUUAACAGACUUUCUCAUAUGUUUACAGCCUUUUUUUAAAAAUCAUCUGGCAACUCUUCUUUCCACUUUUCAUCGAAUGUUUUCAAAUCACAGGAGUAAACAUUUACGUGACUGUGACUUCGUUUGUUUUUAUUUCGUUCGGAGAAAAAUUAUAUCAGGGAAAGUGGACAUUAAAAAUGCGUUGCUCAGUGAAAGGCUGCCCGAAUACGAGUGAAAAUGUUCGCGUUAGCUCUUAUAGCUUCGGAAACGUAUUUACAGACGCACUGGGUUGAUUUUUGCGGAGACGACAAACUAGUUCCGAAUAAGGAUUCGCGUAUCAGUGGAAUUAUUUUGAUAGCGUCUUAAUGCAGUGGACUGUGAAAACUGCUACUUAAUCCCGCUGCGAGAUACCAAAGCAGCCUUUAUGCGGAUUGCCCAACGUGAGAACCCAAAAUCCCCCCGUGGGCGCGAUGCAGACUGCCUUCAUUGCAGUGAUGCAGCGGGGAUUUUCCAUUCGCAUGGAAAUUCACAUCACUGUAGCAGAUUGAGGGACUCGUUUCAUCGGAGACAAAAUACAACACACACUUAAACUACUAUAACUAUGUACAUUGUAUUUUACUUAAUACUAUAGAAAUAUACAUGAAAUUAUACAAGCA